rfam:Chlorocebus sabaeus isolate 1994-021 chromosome 24, whole genome shotgun sequence.
GGCAGUAUGGUAUGGCUGACAAACACUGGUUCUGAGAGCCAGAAAAGUCUGGGUUCAAAUCCCAGCUCUGCCU